rnacentral:other from 1 species
CGGGCGCUGCCCGGCGCGUUAGGUUGUUUCAUCCCUCGGGCCAAUAAUUCCGUUCUGGGAGCUGUCCCUGCCGGAACCGUGGUUUCGGUAUAUGGCACCCACCUGCAUUGCAGGCUCACAGGAUGUCCAUGACCAUACGGCCAGUGUGGCCCCGCC